CCAGUGAGUGCAUUUCCACAGUCAAGGACAAAUGGCUACAAAGUCUGCAGUAGGCCAAAGGAAGGAUGGCCACACACAGACAAAUGGAGGUUUGGAUCACAGGAGAGGUCAAUUUCAGCCAGAAUUAAACUCCAAGCUUCCUUUCAAAGUAGCCCACUGGGCCGUACUCUCAUUGUCUUUCUCCUCCUCCUCCAUCUCUUCCAUGUAACAAUAUAUAGAUGUUUUUACCAUCAUGUAUGAUAGGAAUAGUCAAGUUAAAUUAAAAUAGACUUACUACCCCACCCUAGGGUUUUUUCCAAAAACAAAACUGUCAAAAUGCAGAGAUGGCAAGGACUCCAAGUGAGGAAAGGUAACAAAUUAAAGCAGCAGUUUUUUAAAUAUCAAAGAGGGGGAAAAAGGUGGAUAAGGAAAGAAAUAGAUGCAGAAGAAAACAGAUAAGCUUGUGGAAAUGAGCAGAGGGAUAGAAAGGCAGGAUAAUGUGGGAGUAAAUUAGUUAUGGAAGUGGGGCCCAAGUCAAAUGAACGGUAGAAUCAGAAAAAGUUGAUCAGAGAUGGGAAAAUAAUUCAGCACGAAAAAGAGAUAGAAGCAGAGAAGAAAGCAAGCAAGCUUUGAAUACAGAACACCAUAUCAUCAUAAUAAGGUAGUUUAUAUUAAACAUGAAUUUUUUAGAGCCUAUAUAAAAUCAUUCUGACUUUCAGGCUUUUAAUGAGAAGUAUAGUCAGUUUAAAUUUUAAUUUAAGUAACACUUUCCAAAGAUCAUAAAAUUUUGGACUUAUCACACUCUGGGAGAAGUUAGGUACUUUGGACAUACAUUAAUCCCUUUUUGACAUUUAGCUUUUACCACAGAUCCAGUUGUUUGCUAAAUGACACCAUGACCUAAAAGAGCUCAUUUAUUUCUCAAAGUGAAUAUUCACUCUUAGGGAACAACUUUUACAUUAGCAGACUCCAGUGCAAGGUUGUGGAUGAAAUGGCACUUGAAUCCUUCUUUUUUGAAUAAAUUAUUAGUAUUUUUGAGUUGCAACAUUCAUUUUGUUAUUUAUGUGAAUUAAUACAAACUGAAAAAUAAGCCAUCCUGUGUUAUGAAAUUUGAAAAAUGUGACUUUGGAAAACUUGUAAUCAUCCAUUUUAGUUUUAUAUGAAAGAAGUUUUUUUUUUUUCCCAAAAAGAUGAGAUAUGAAGGUGAUGAAUAUGUAAUAAUGUUUUCAUAUACUUGCCAAUUUAAUGUGUUUGCAUAAAUAUUUAAUACAUCAAUCUUUUCAAGAAGAACAUGUUCAUUUCAAUGUCUUUUCCUUUUCAUCAGAUUGGCUUAUUAAUAAAGUCCCCAAAGAAGAUUUUAUUAUUCGGUGGACAUUUCAAAGACAGUGAUCAAAUCUCUUUAUUUUGUGAGUGUAUAAAAAUAUGCAAUUUUUAUUUAGACUGCAUGGCAAAUCGUCAUUUUGUGUAUGUAUAUGUUUGUGUGUAUAUGUGUGAUUUAUAAGAGUAAAAUCUUCUUUAUUUGAUUUAUAUUAUAAAAAGUAUGAAAAGUCAGAGUUCCUUCUGUGGUACAGCGGGUUAAGGAUCUGGCCUUGUCUCUGAGGUGAUGCAGGUUUGGUUUCCAGGCCCAGGUGGUUGGUUGCAGCAUUGGCUCAGAUUGGGUCCCUGGCCCUGUAAUUUCCACAUGCUGUGGGUGUAGAGUAAAAAAAAAAAAAGGUAUGAAAAGCAUCAUUUGUAUGAAAUAUUUAGAAUGAAGCAAAUUGUUGCAAUUAUUUUAAAUUUCAGUCCAGAUUAGGAAGGUUUUUGCUAAAUGCCAACACCAUAGUUUUGUCCAAGCUUGAGGUAUGUGUAGAAAGCACAUGAACUUUUUUCAUGAAACUUAGUUUAGUUCAAUUAAGAUUAUCUUUUUAUGUUCUGUUCAGCUAAACACAAUUCUUCAUUCAGAUGAUCUCUUUAAGUCUCAUUCAAACUCAAUUAUUUUCCAGUAUGCCUUCUCAAGUCCUAGGUGUGCCUGAUUUCUCCACGGAUAGUUCCUCUCAACAACACUCUGCAUCUAUUUAUUUCUUUACACGUGCUCCUUGAGGUUCUAUUUUACAUAUAUAUGCUUGCUGCAUUAUAAAACCAUCCACUUCACCAUGUGAUAUUGCUACUCUUGUCCCAUUUUUUCCCAUACAUCUUCUACUGGGGUAUAUAAUUUUAAAAUGUAAAAAUUCAUAAGCAGAAAUCUCAAUUACAUAGAAUCAGUUGACCAUAAGAGGGAGCUCUCACACUCUGCCACAAUAACAAAGCCCAACAGGAAGAAGCAGCUUCCUCUUUUUUCCCCCUGGCAAGGACUCAGCCAGUGAAAAGACAUGGGCCCUCUGUUUACUAUAGCCCUCCCAACUUCCUUUUUCUUUCUGUAAAAGCAUCCCCCUUCCCUUGACUCAUGUGAGUUCUAUGACUUGCACAUAGCUCAUGCUUGCGGAUCCCCAAGUUCCAUUCUCUGCUGAUCUGGCAGUCUAUUUUUUCCAGGUUAAAAAACAAAACAAAGCAAAAUAACAUUCAAAAUGUUUGCAAAACAAAAUUACAGACCAAAUAUCAACUACUGAGACUCUUUACAGUUUUCUUAUGUUUAAGAGGCAGCCCUCUUUCAAUUUUACGAUUACGAGUUCAUUAUUUGACGUUAUAAUGGGUACAUCACAAAACUGAUAUUUUUUUCAGGUCUUAUAGUUUCUGUUGCAACUACUCCCCUUUGUAGUUGAAGGAGGCGAGUAACCAGACAUGCAUAAAAGAAUGAAUGUGUCUAUGCUCCAAUAAAACUUUAUUUACAAAGACAAUGUUUGUUAAAUUCCAUGCCAUGGCAUAUAAGACUUCCUAAAACAGAAAAAACUUACAUCUAUAUUUGAUGUUGGAAACUAAAGGAAACACAUGGGACCACGCCCAAAUUUACUACUUGUUAGCAUUCUCUCCCUUCCCUACUCCCCUCUCCAUCUCUUACUUGCUGGACCACUCAUUUUCUUCAGUGGCCAAUCAAGGGCAGGGGUCGAGGUGUGCAAUGGUAAUGACCUACUUUAGAGGGAGUAGGGUUUUUUUUUUAACUUAUAUUGUGUAAACUACCAGCUCAUGGUAACAAUAAAAGAUAACUCUUAGUUGGUUUUCUUACUGUGCUGAAAUUCUUUAUCAUUUUUAUUGUUCAUAUUGCCUACACUCCAAGACAAAUUGUUGCCACUGUGCCCACUCCCCGGUUUACCACUACCCUUUGUGUCUUAAAUGGGAAAUAUAACUGCAUAUGUUGCACUUUUUUCUGAAUUAAUAAAUAUUCAUUAACUGUUGUCUAGAGGUUUUAGGAUUCAUAAUUUAUUUAAUAACUCCUAUAUUGAUGAAUAUUUAAGCUAUUUCCAGUGUUCCCAGAUACAAACAAUGCUUCACUGAAUCUACUUGAACACUCAUCCUUGCACACGUGUGGAUGAAUUCCUAGAAACUGAAUUGAUGACACUUUAAAAUUUUAACAUAUAUUACCACAUUGCUUUCAAAAAUGUUGUGUCAAUUUAAAUUCCAGCUAAGAAUAAAUGAUAGUAUCUUUUCUCCAUACUCUUUCCAAAAGAGAAUAAGAUUUUUUUUUAAUUUUUGCCAAUUUGUUAACCCAAAUGGGAUAGCUCAUUUUAUUUCUAAUUGUAUUUCUUUUCAUAAAUUAUCAGCCAUUUUUCAUUUUUUUUCUGCUGAAAGCUCUCCUCAGUGCAUAAUGGUGUGUAAUUUGGGGUCACAGGUGGUAUGUACACAAAAGGAAAAAUGUCCACUAGCACAUAAAGUUUAAUGUAUUGCAGUAGACUCUACCAAAAUUGUACAGCUUGUUAAGUAGGAUCUGUCUUGUUAAGAAUGAUUAAAUGGCCUCUUUAGUUGAAUGUGUUUGGAUAUUUCUGUCUUGCUUCACUUUAAAACUCCCAUAGCUCAUCAAUAAAUUAUUCGUAUUUUUGUCAAUAAGAAAGAGUUAUAAAUAUUUCUGUUUGGUGUUUAGUGCCAAUAAUUUCACUCUAAUUUGAGUAUGAAAAUUUCCAAACACAUACUCCUUUCCAAGAAAUUGUAAUUAUCUUGUACUUUGGAAUGAGGAUGGGGUGGACCUAUCCAUGAUUACCCAUAUUAUUAAAUAAUAACAUUAGGAGUUCCCGUCGUGGCACAGUGGUUAACGAAUCCGACUAGGAACCAUGAGGUUGCGGGUUCGGUCUCUGCCCUUGCUCAGUGGGUUAAGGAUCCGGCGUUGCCGUGAGCUGUGGUGUAGGUUGCAGACGCGGCUCGGAUCCUGCAUUGCUGUGGCUCUGGCGUAGGCUGGUGGCUACAGCUGUGAUUAGACCCCUAGUCUGGGAACCUCCAUAUGCCGUGGGAACGGCCCAAGAAAUAGCAAAAAAACAAACAAACAAAAAAGAUAAAUAAUAACAUUAAAUAUUUCUAAUCUAACUUCAUAGGCAUAUUGUUUGCUCUUCAGUAUGAGGUGACAACUUUAGAUAAAUGCAUGUGAUCAUUGCAGAAAUUUGACUUUUAUGAGGGAAGCUUUGGGAAAUUCUUUUAUUGGGGGAGGUUUUUUUUUGUUUGUUUGUUUGUUUUUUGAGUUUAAAAGCACUGUUAAACAAGGUACUGGUUCUCAGCCUUCCGACAUUUUGGCAGUGCUACAGCCCUUGCCCCAUAUUCCUUCUCUGAGAUACUCCCGCAGCUUCUAGCCACUGAUGAGCCCUCUGCACUCAACGUGUGGAGCUUGUACUUUCCUUCCAGUUCCUGUUAAAGGAAUAGAGGCUUAUUAUUGCCCUAAUUACUAUGCCUAAAAAGGUAAUAUUUUACACUAGGAAAAAAUGAAAAACAAAAAAUGUACUCUGUCUGUGUUACACUAACUCAGGUAAAAUUCUUUUGCCAAGGAUUAGGCUCUGCCUUCUCCCUUGUUGGAAUGAGUGAACUGAUAAUGCUCUUACUAAAGUGUUCACUGUCUCACUGGGUGCCAAGUAUCUCCUAUCAUCUACUCAAAGAAGUAACUCUUAUGGUUUUUCUCUUUCUUCCUCUUUUGUAUCUCAGUACCCAACUUUGGCAUGCCCUGUCUUUGUACGCCUCUCAUCUGACUUACAUCCACUUCCUACAUGUUCUUAGGUAAAUUUAUUUCUUCAAAUACUCUCAAUCUACUGAAAAUGCCUUGCUUGCAUCUCAAAGCUAAACCUCACCCCUGAACUCUAAAUUCAUAUAUUCAAAUAUCCUCCUUAACCUCUCCAGCUACAUAACUAAGAUGCAUCUUUAAUCUAACAUAUUUAAAAAUGAACUCUUGAUCUCCCCUAUAGCAUUUCCUCCCAUGGUUCCACAUCUCAGGAAAUGGCAAUUCCAUUUUACCCAGUUGUUUAGAUCAAAAUUUUGAAGGCAUGACUGAGUUCUCACUUUUCCUUAUUACUAUCUACAACCAACAACAAAUACUCUCAACUUUUUCUUCAAAACACAUCCAUAAUCUAAUAAUACUGAGUGAUCUACCUCUAAUUCCUUCCACAGCUACCACCUUGGGCCACGCCACUGCCAUCACCCACUUCAAGCACGUGCCCUCCCUCCUUCCUCCUUUGUCUCCAUUCAGUCUGUUCUUCACACAGUAGCCUUAGCCAUUCUUUUAAACAAAAGUUAAAUCAUGUUCUGCCUCCACUUAAAAGGAGGCUUUCCAACAUCCUCAAAAUAAAAGCUAAAGUCCUUGCUGUAGUUUAUAAGGUCCUCACAAUCUAGCCCAACAAGAUCUUUCUGAUUUCAUCUCUUACUGCUCCAUCUCAUUUACUUCUAGUCACACUGGCAUAUAUUCUACAUUUUAGAAGCAUUCUCCUAGAACAGGAGCCUAUUCUCCCUUUGCCUAUGAAUUUCCUUUCCAUGUAGAUCCAUGUUGCAGGGUUCUUCACUUUCUUUGACUUUCUGUUAACUUAUCACAGAGGCUUGACAUAAAAUACAAUAUUAAUAAAGACUAAGAUGUGUAAUAGCAAAUGCUUGCUAAAUUCAUCUUUAGAUAUUACACAAAAGUAGAUAUUAUAUGUAAUUAGGUAAAUAUAGUUUCAACAUACAGUUGAAAUUAAUUGGUUUUAAAACAGGAUAUGUAUCUUCUUUGUAACUGAAAGACAAAUACUAACAACUAACACUUACUGAAGGCUGUUCUCCUGGACCCUGUGUUCCUUGUAAAAAUUAAGUCACUUAAUUAUCACAUUUAUGCUAGGGAGUGGGUAAUAUCAUUCCCACUUCACAGAUGAGACAUUGAGGCAAAGAGAAGUUAAGUAACUUCAUUUAGAAUAGGAGCUGUGAUUUCAAUGUAAAUAAUAGCUUCAGAGCUAUGCUCUUGACUACCACACUCUUAACCACCACCCAAACAAUUUCUAUAAUUUGUUUAUUCACAAAGUAAAAUUCCUUGGAUUAAAAAACAUUAUGAUUAUGAUAAGUGAAGUUGAUAAUGGGGGAAAGCUAUGAAUGUGUGGGUGCAGGGUACCAGAGUUUUUGUUUUUGUUUUCAAUAAUCUCUGAAUCUUCCUAUCAAUUUUGUUGUAAACAUAAAACUGCUCUCUUUUAAAAAAAAAUAGUCAUUUAAAAAAUCUUUAGAAAAAAUUUAAAAGGGCCAAAUAAAUUCUAAACUAAGAUUACAAAAGCAAAAGCAAGUAGGUAGGCAUAACUCCAGGAUGGUUCCAAGAUUUCUGCACCUUCCUGGAUGAGUCUGUAAAAUCCCCUCUGAGAUGGGUAGGCAGGCUCUGUGAAUAUGAUGGAAUACUUGCUCCUAUGAUUAGGUUAUACUAUUUUGCACAGUUGACCUUAAGAAAGGGAGAUUAUCCUUGAGUUGUCUGGUAUCUCAGUGGGUUAAAGAUCUGGAGUUGUCACUGCUAUGACUUGGGUCGCUGCUGUGGUGCAGGUUUGAUCCCUAGCCUUGGAACUUCCACUUGCUUUGGACACAGACGAAAAAAAAAAAAAAAAAAAAAAA
rnacentral:lncRNA from 1 species